rnacentral:misc_RNA from 1 species
GUGAAUCAUCGAAUCUUUGAACGCACAUUGCGCCCGCCGGUAUUCCGGCGGGCAUGCCUGUUCGAGCGUCAUUUCAACCCUCAAGCCCAGCUUGGUGUUGGGGCACCCGGUCGCCUUACGGCCCCGGGGCCCUCAAGCAUAUCGGCGGUCUCGUCGGGACUCUGAGCGCAGUAACUCGCGGUAAAACGCGCCUCGCUUGGUCCGUCUCCGGCGGGUUCCGGCCGCUAAACAACCCCCCUUCUCAGAGUUGACCUCGGAUCAGGUAGGAAUACCCGCUGAACUUAAGCAUAUCAAUAAGCG